AGGAUUCUGGGUAUGCAGUAUUGUUUUGGCUGGUUUGUGUGGUGAUGAUAGGGCUUACUUGAAGAUGAGAAGAGCUGUUGGGGCAUUAUCAAACCCUGCUUUGAUCAAUUUGGAUUCAAUUAUAUGUGGAGUUGUAAUGGAGAAAGGAUGUGUGCUGAAGGAGGUUAGAGAGUUGAAAGAUGCAGCUGAUUGCCUCGCAGCCGCCAUAGCCAGCAAAAACGGCAGUGAUGCCGCAGAGGAGAUGCAGAGAAAAUUGCAGGAGUUUGAGAAGUUGCUGGAUGGAAUAAGCAAGGAGGUGAAUUGUCUGUUCUCUGAGUUAUUGGCUGGAAGAAAAGAAUUGCUUAAUGGUAUUCGGAUUCAGAAACCAUAAAAACAAAUCAUAGAUUUCUAGUUUUGAUUUGUUUUUAAACUCUGUAUAUAGAUUGUAUACUUUUGCAUAGUUUUUUCAUUAAUGAGCUUCAAAUUGGU
rnacentral:misc_RNA from 1 species